rnacentral:rRNA from 1 species
GACGAACGCUGGCGGCGUGCUUAACACAUGCAAGUCGAACGGAAAGGCCCUGCUUUUGUGGGGUGCUCGAGUGGCGAACGGGUGAGUAACACGUGAGUAACCUGCCCUUGACUUUGGGAUAACUUCAGGAAACUGGGGCUAAUACCGGAUAGGAGCUCCUGCUGCAUGGUGGGGGUUGGAAAGUUUCGGCGGUUGGGGAUGGACUCGCGGCUUAUCAGCUUGUUGGUGGGGUAGUGGCUUACCAAGGCUUUGACGGGUAGCCGGCCUGAGAGGGUGACCGGCCACAUUGGGACUGAGCUACGGCCCGGACUCCUACGGGAGGCAGCAGUGGGGAAUAUUGCACAAUGGGCGGAAGCCUGAUGCAGCAACGCCGCGUGCGGGAUGACGGCCUUCGGGUUGUAAACCGCUUUCGCCUGUGACGAAGCGUGAGUGACGGUAAUGGGUAAAGAAGCACCGGCUAACUACGUG